UACGAGGGGGGCGAGCGUUGUUCGGAAUUACUGGGCGUAAAGGGCGCGUAGGCGGGAUGGCAAGUCGGUCGUGAAAUCCCUCGGCUCAACUGAGGAUCGUCGAUCGAUACUGCCGUUCUUGAGGAUUGCAGAGGAGACUGGAAUUCCCGGUGUAGCGGUGAAAUGUGUAGAGAUCGGGAGGAACACCGGUGGCGAAGGCGGGUCUCUGGGCAAUUCCUGACGCUGAGGCGCGAAAGCGUGGGGAGCAAACGGG
rnacentral:rRNA from 1 species